GAUGAACGCUGGCGGCGUGCCUAAUACAUGCAAGUCGAGCGAACAGACGAGGAGCUUGCUCCUCUGACGUUAGCGGCGGACGGGUGAGUAACACGUGGAUAACCUACCUAUAAGACUGGGAUAACUUCGGGAAACCGGAGCUAAUACCGGAUAAUAUAUUGAACCGCAUGGUUCAAUAGUGAAAGACGGUUUUGCUGUCACUUAUAGAUGGAUCCGCGCCGCAUUAGCUAGUUGGUAAGGUAACGGCUUACCAAGGCGACGAUGCGUAGCCGACCUGAGAGGGUGAUCGGCCACACUGGAACUGAGACACGGUCCAGACUCCUACGGGAGGCAGCAGUAGGGAAUCUUCCGCAAUGGGCUAAACCCUGACGGAGCAACGCCGCGUGAGUGAUGAAGGUCUUCGGAUCGUAAAACUCUGUUAUUAGGGAAGAACAAAUGUGUAAGUAACUAUGCACGUCUUGACGGUACCUAAUCAGAAAGCCACGGCUAACUACGUG
rnacentral:rRNA from 1 species